CCUACGUGAGGCAGCAGUGGGGAAUAUUGGGCAAUGGGCGCAAGCCUGACCCAGCAACGCCGCGUGAAGGAAGAAGGCUUUCGGGUUGUAAACUUCUUUUCUCAGGGACGAAGAAAGUGACGGUACCUGAGGAAUAAGCCACGGCUAACUACGUGCCAGCAGCCGCGGUAAUACGUAGGUGGCAAGCGUUAUCCGGAUUUACUGGGUGUAAAGGGCGUGUAGGCGGGAAAGCAAGUCAGAUGUGAAAACCAUGGGCUCAACCUGUGGCCUGCAUUUGAAACUGUUUUUCUUGAGUACUGGAGAGGCAGACGGAAUUCCUCGUGUAGCGGUGAAAUGCGUAGAUAUGAGGAGGAACACCAGUGGCGAAGGCGGUCUGCUGGACAGCAACUGACGCUGAGGCGCGAAAGCGUGGGGAGCAAACAGGAUUAGAUACCCCAGUAGUC
rnacentral:rRNA from 1 species